UACAGAGGUCUCAAGCGUUGUUCGGAUUCAUUGGGCGUAAAGGGUGCGUAGGUGGCGCUGUAAGUCGGGUGUGAAAUUUCGGAGCUUAACUCCGAAACUGCAUUCGAUACUGGCGUGCUUGAGGACUGGAGAGGAGACUGGAAUUUACGGUGUAGCAGUGAAAAUGCGUAGAUAUCGUAAGGAAGACCAGUGGCGAAGGCGGGUCUCUGGACAGUUCCUGACACUGAGACACGAAGGCCAGGGGAGCAAACGGG
rnacentral:rRNA from 1 species